rnacentral:ribozyme from 1 species
AGAAAAAAAAUUAGAAAGAAAGAAUAUAUCUGUCACAUCUGUCUGACUCUCUCGUACUCCUUUCGUCAGUCUACUUUCCAUUCUUCUU